rnacentral:tRNA from 1 species
GUCCCAGUAGCGCAAUGGAUAGCGCUUUGGGCUCCAAAUCCAAAGACAGAGGGUUCAAUCCCUCCUGGUAUG